rnacentral:lncRNA from 1 species
CUCUUGUCUGACACCACGUAAGAUGGCGCCUUUGCUUCUCCUUCACCUUCCUCCAUGACUGUGAGGCCUCCCCAGCCAUGUGGAACUGGCUUCUCUCUGUCGCCCAGGCUGGAGUACAGGGAUGCGAUCUUGACUCACUGCAGCCUCAACCUCCUGGACUCAAGCCAUUCUCCCCCCUCAGCCUCCCCAGUAGCUGGGACUACAGGCGCCCACCACCACGCCCGGCUAAUUUUGUAUUUUUUGUAGAGACUGGGGUUUCUCCACCUCAUCCAGACUGGUCUUAAACUCCUGGGCUCAAGCAAUCCACCCACCUCAGCCUCCCACCGUGCUGAGAUUAUAGGCAUGAGCCACCGCGCCUGGCCUAUUUUCUUAGAUUUAUCCCUAAGUAAUACAUUUUCUUUGAUGCUAUUGUAAGGCCUUUCUUUGAUGCUACAAUAAGUCCUUUUAAAUUUCUCAUUUUCCAGUUAUUCACUUUCACUGCCAGAAUAUGCGAUGGGCUCUCGGGUAUGCAGUGUGCCAGUCAGCCCCACCCUGACACAGCGGAGCAGAGAGAGACGGUCCUGACGGAGCAGGCCAGGGAUCAGCACCGCCCACUGGGCCUCUGACCCCUCUGACCCAUGACCUCCAAGCCCUGCGGUCAGUCUGUGCCCAGGCCCAGUCUGUGCUGGAGCCCUCCCUGCAGCCCCCUCUGGCAGGACUUCAGAGGGAUCCCCAGCUCCUGGCCCACAUGGCCGCAUCUGGCCCAAACACACAUUCCUUUCGCCACUCUCCUCUGAAUGGAAUCUGGCUUGCCCCGCACAGCCUCUGCCUCCCUCUGCCCCGCACAGCACCC